rnacentral:rRNA from 1 species
CCUACGGGGGGCAGCAGUGGGGAAUAUUGCACAAUGGGGGAAACCCUGAUGCAGCAACGCCGCGUGAGUGAAGAAGUAUUUCGGUAUGUAAAGCUCUAUCAGCAGGGAAGAAAAUGACAGUACCUGACUAAGAAGCCCCGGCUAACUACGUGCCAGCAGCCGCGGGAAUACGUAGGGGGCAAGCGUUAGCCGGAUUUACUGGGUGUAAAGGGAGCGUAGACGGCUGCGCAAGUCAGAAGUGAAAGCCCGGGGCUCAACCGCGGGACUGCUUUUGAAACUGUAUAGCUAGAGUGUAGGAGAGGUAAGUGGAAUUCCUAGUGUAGCGGUGAAAUGCGUAGAUAUUAGGAGGAACACCGGUGGCGAAGGCGGCUUACUGGACUGUAACUGACGUUGAGGCUCGAAAGCGUGGGGAGCAAACAGGAUUAGAUACCCCGGUAGUC